AAAAGAAGAAGAAGAAGAAAAGAAGAAAAAAAAGAAAAAAAAAGAGUAAUGGCGAAGAACUACAAGAAAUGUUCUGUUGUUGGCUGUAGGGAUGCGCAUAAAUCACUCCUUAACCUCCCAGGAGAACAGGACAGACGAGUAGAGUGGCUCAAAUUCAUUUUUGAUGGAGAUAUCCCAGAUGGCAUCCCAAAAAAGGUAUUAGUAUGUGCCAACCACUUCCAACCUGACUGUUUCAACAACUUGAAACAGUUUACAUUGGGAUUCGCUGGGAGACUUAGCCUGAAAACGGAUGCAGUUCCAACUUUGCGCGGAGAACCAGCGGAGAAGGCGUUUGACAGUAAACAGUUGCCAGCAACAAGAGAUGUUGGAUGUCAGACCGAGCCACCAAAGAAAUGCAGCGUUGGCACACAACUGUCAAUGAGGAGUCUUCAACCACAUUACAAAAGUAGAGUUGUCCAAACUACAAUGUCUUCUGAGGAUUUUGGCAUGUCCACUGCUGCUUUUAAAGAGCCGCUUCAUGUUCUAAGCUCCACACCAAUAGGGCCAGCAUCUAAGAGAUGGCCUCAGGAGGAAGAGGAUGAGGAUUCUCUCAUGCACAGCACAGUAAAUGCUUCUGUUGGACUGGACUUAACCUAUGAUUCUGAAAACUCUGUGACAGCUUUGACCGAGUCAACAUCUAUGUCGGAUUCUCCAAGUACCUCCACACACGACAUAAUAAAAUACAUCGUCUUCGAGGACUGUCUACUGCAGCUUUUCGAAAUGUGUCCUGUAUGCAAGCAUCCAUGCACUGUUUAAACUAGAGCUGGGCGUUAAGAACCUCAUGAUUCGUUUCAAUUUAGAUUCUUUAGGUUGCGAGUCGACUCAAUAUUGAUUCUUUAGCGUUGCAAUUCAAUUCGGUAAUGAUUUAAAUGUUUCGAUAUCGAUUCAGUAAGGAGUAAAAAUACACAAAUAAAAGUAGAUUUUGACAAUUUUUAAAUAUUUAUUUUUGAUGCCAUGUAAAAAUGUCACAUUACAUUUUUUAAGCAAUAAAACAUCUGAAAAUAAAAAUUUGCACAUAACUUGUUUGUAUAUAUGCAGUACAAAAGUAAAAAAUAUGGCAGUUGUGCAUAAAGCGUGAAAAGGUAAAGUGCAUGUAAACCUAAAUUUUUUAUUUGCUCGUAAAAAUUGUAAUAACAAAAUGCACAAUAACUUAUUUGUUCAUAUGGAGUACAAAAGUUAAAACAUGUGCACCUAUACUUAUUUAUUUGACCUUUUGUUUUUUUUGUUUUUUUUUUAAAAGUAGGGUUACUAUUAUUAUUUGUAGGGUGUUUAAGUUAAACCUUAUGAAGUAACAUGUUUGCAGCAUUGUGAGACAAGCCAGUACCGGUACUUUGUUAAACCUUCAUCAAACAUUCAUUAAUUGCGUCUGUCAACAAGUUCGCUAUAUUGCGCUCUCUCUGUAUGGCUUCAGUGUAGGGGGCUCUAGUCUGCAGAACAUUUCACACAAAUUCCCGCUCGUUAGAAAUGAAAUGGGAAGUUACGUACGUAGGGGUCAGUCGCUCUUUCUGUCGACUUCAAUGACUCCAAAACCGCUGUAUUAACUCCGUGUACAGUUCCGGGACGGUGACUUCUGGCAUGUUUUCGUGUUGGAAUUGCGUAUCGCGGUUCGAGUGUCUGUUGUUCAUUUCUGUGUUCUGGAUUUACAGGGGAAUCCAAAAUGACCCCAAACAUCAUUUUAAAAGUAGAAGUCGCUCGCUUCACGCUGCUCCUGCAGCCACUAUUUGCUUCAGUAGCCAUUGUUUGGCUUUCGUCCAUACAACGCGAACCACGCGCAAAGCGCCUCACAGUGGCCAGGAGUUUAAAUCAAAAGACAAGAGACAUUUAUCAAAAUACAACUGUGCACCUGUUGUGAGUACUUCCAAAGUUGGAAAAGCCAGCCUCUUAUGGACACACCAGCUGGAAACUUGCAGCUUUCUGCGGCAGUGUACAUCAGUGGAGCUUCUUUCAUCAAAGGCCAUAGAGUGUUCAAAGCGACGGAUUUGCAAGCUUUUCGGUUCAACACCUUCCGUUGGCAUGCCAGAAUGUUCAUUGAGUUAGUUAUUAUCCACACAUGGAAGAUUAAGCAGGAUGUGAUGCUGCAGCAGCUGCACCAAAAAGAAAAGCUAAGCUUGGUGGUGACAUGAGGGCCGACUCGUCAGGACACUGCAAAAUAUGGAAGUUAUACUUUGAUGGACCUCGAGACAAACACUGUAAUUGAUCAGCAGUUUGUUCAGAGCAACAGGUGUUGGCAGGAGCUACCACAUGGAGAAGAAAUGCCUGUGGAAGAUUCUGAAGCUGUUGAAUGAACAUGGCAUUGAGGUUGAUUAUAUCAUCAUCCUCAAAUUCAGAAUUUUUUUAAGGGACAAUAACAUCAUGCAAUUUUGAUGUUUGUCAUAUGGAAAAAGGUAUAGCUCUUGUUUUUCAAGUUGGUGUAUUGAUUAAGUACUAGUUAGGGCUGCACGACAUUGGGGGGAAAAAUGACAUUGCGAUUUUAUUUUAUUUUUUCCCUUAACCUGUGAUAUGUAUUAUUGAGAUGUGAAAUAAUACAGGGUCAGGGUUGAGAAUGUUCAUUUUCUGCACGAACUUGUUCAAAGUUCAGUUUAUUGCUCCAAAAAUAAACUUGUUCAGAUCAUAGUUCAUAAUUAAAAAUUUUGAAGUAAGUUCAUUGGUCCAAAAACGAACUAGUUCAUAGUUGUUGUUGUUUUUUUUUCCCUCAAUAUUUUUCUGAUGGGCUACUACCCUCAAAAUACUGGCAUUUCAUUUCCCCAUGUUGCCACCCAUUCAGUCCAUACUAAUAGCUAGCUGCAGCUUUUAUCCUACAAUUGCCAAAUUAUGAGGAAAAACGUGUUUCUUGAAUGUCUUUUUUUAAAAUUGGGAAUUAAAUCAAAAACAGGACUUUUGUCCUUAAUGUGCAAAUAAAAACGCGCAACACAGUACGACAGGAACAAUGGUGAAAGGACUGAUCAUUUUGCAUUCCUCGCAGCUGUGGCUGACUACAGUAACAAAAUACUUUAUCUACUCUUUAACUAAAGCAUUCUGAUACAAAUAAGUUUUCCUAGUUAUCCAUGUUUACAAUUAUGUACAGUAUUACAAAAGAAUACAUUCACUCUCAUUUAUGGAGUGUCCCUAAACGCACCUGUGCACUCACACAGCUGCUGCGUGCCUGCCUAGUUUCAUUCUGAAGAGUGGAAUAGGAAAUGCAGCAAGUGUACAUUCUCUCUAUUAGCAUGUCCAAACAGGUCUCUCUGCUGGUCACGUUUAAUAUUACAGUUGAUUCACUAUAUUUUAGAACAUCAACAUCGUAGCAGAACUUACGAUGUGACUUGGGCACAAGUACAUCGCGAUGACGAAGCUCAAACAAAAUAUUGUGUGUGAUGCAAUUAGUUAGUGCUUCAGCUUUAUAACAAGAAGGUCAGUUUCAUGUCCAGCUUGAGACCUCCAACAGGGUGUUAAUGGUUGUUUUGUUUACCCUGUUUUUGUCAAGUGGUUGAACAGGAAUGAAUUUUGUAUAGAGAAACUCCCUUUUAGACUUAUGAUCCACACACACUUUUGAUCGUCGGUUAAUGUUAUUGUACUUACUUGAAGGAAUCACAAAGAAGAUUGAAACGCUCAGCAAUAAAAAGGACUGCCAACCACCUUUAUUGGACUGCGGCAUCAUCAAAACCUCGGCCAGAAUGAAUGGCAAAGUGGACCUCCCCUCUGAAUCAUAUACAGGCUCUUCAUACUCAUGACCCAUAAUUCCCACAAUGCCUACACCCAAUUCAGCCAAUGACUGACAAGAGUAAAUGUCUAUCAGCAGGUUUGUUUUCAUUGAAAUGGUUGCACAGAAUAACUAUAAUCCUUUUCAUUGGCAAUGAUUAUGAGAUUAAAUGAAGAUUCAUUAAUUAGUACGUAAUGCUUCAAGACAAAGAAAAAUUGCUUAUGGUAAAAAUUCUAUAUCAACAUAUACCGUAAUUUCUCGUGUAUAAUGCACAUUUCUUUCCCCAAAAAUUGUCAAAAGUCAAUAGUGCGCAUUAUACAGUCUUUUUAAUUUUCUCCUCUACCUUUCACAUUUUAUAAAUGUAUGCUGACAUCUUGAAGGUAUGAAAAAGCUUUACACUUUCAUUCUAGUAUGCCACCUAGUGGUAAUGAAAAACGUGUAACCAUUCCAAUAUGACAACGGUACAUAUGACUGCAUAUACGUACAGUUGUGCUCAUAAGUUUAUAUACCCAGGCAGAAUUAGUGAAUUUUUUUGUAUUUAUUUCUUUUGAUACGACUGAUGACUGAACAACAACCAUCAUUAAUUUCUUUAUGGUUAUGUUUUGUUUAAUAAUGCUUUUCUGAAAUGCUUGACAGUUUAAUUUGAAUCACAUUAAAAUAAAAUUAAAUGUAUUUCGCCUUGUCCUUUAUUUUUUAUUUAAAGAAUUGUACACAUCUUACGAAUUCUGCCUUGGUCAUCAAACAUGAGCACAACUGCGUUGUCUCAUUUACUAAAUAAAAGUAGGGCUGUGAAUUUCAAAAUAAGAGCAAGUAAAUAGAAAAUGUGUUCAAAUAAAGUGCUUAACUUCAGAAUAAUUACUUGAAAAAACUAACAAAAUACAGAUAAUGUUUUGAUCAUACGGGUAGAAGCAAAAUCAUGCAUUGUAAAAAUGCAUUAUACAUAGGUUGAAGGGUUUUCCUGAAUUUUGAGGUCAACUUUGGGGGUGCACAAAUGGGUGCACAUUAUACACAAGAAAUUACAGUACUUGAA